CCUUAAGUUAAACUUACAUUAUUUCAUUCAUGUAUUCAUCAUUCACUCAACAAACAGUGAUUAUUUCUCUGGCAUGAGUCUUACACUGUGGCAAAUGCUCAUGCUCAAAGAUGAGUAAGGUUUAUUUCUUUGUAAUCCAAACAGUGUGAGUCAGUACUGGGUGUGGGUGGGUCUACAUUCAUUCUCAUUUUCCUCCUUCCUGCAAUGAAACAUGCAGCAGCAUCCCACAGACAGGUAGUCACUCAGGUUUCCUCAACUGUGAAAAUUGCGUAUCUAUGUCGCCUCACAGUGCUUCUGAAAGGACACUCCUCAGUGGUGUCUGUGAUGUUGAAGGAUGCCUGAUGUUAUGCAACGCUCACUGGGAAGAGCACUCUGCAGAGGCGCAGUUGAAGGCGGUCCUUGUGGCUUUCCCAGUUAGAAGCAUUCGACGCUGAUGUUUCCACAAGGCAACUAGAGAGGACCGGGAGCUGAAACGCAGGAGAUGACAGAUGGAGGUGGACCCAGCUGUACACUGCACCUGUUGGAGGGUGCACUCUGUCUCUCGGAAGGCUGCUGACAGAGUAUCAAAUGAACAAAAAAAAGCACAUUCAAGUUCUUGCCUCUUAAAUUCUUAAUUAUUAGACUUUUAUAGGAAAUAUUUUGAAAUAUCGGGAAAAGUAUGAAAAAAUGUAA